rnacentral:rRNA from 1 species
UACGAAGGGUGCAAGCGUUACUCGGAAUUACUGGGCGUAAAGCGCACGUAGGCGGCUUUGUAAGUUAGAGGUGAAAGCCCGGGGCUCAACUCCGGAACUGCCUUUAAGACUGCAUCGCUUGAAUCCGGGAGAGGUGAGUGGAAUUCCGAGUGUAGAGGUGAAAUUCGUAGAUAUUCGGAAGAACACCAGUGGCGAAGGCGGCUCACUGGACCGGUAUUGACGCUGAGGUGCGAAAGCGUGGGGGAGCAAAACAGG